rnacentral:misc_RNA from 1 species
GUAGGUGAACCUGCGGAAGGAUCAUUACUAGAGCAAAGGAUAGACAGCGCCCGCGGAGCUCGCUCCCGGGGCUACCCUACUCCCGUAGGGUUUAGAGUCGUCGGGCCUCUCGGAGAAGCUCGGUCCUGAACUCCACCCUUGAAUAAACUACCUUUGUUGCUUUGGCGGGCCGCCUCGUGCCAGCGGCUUCGGCUGUUGAGUGCCCGCCAGAGGACCCCAACUCUUGUUUUUAGUGAUGUCUGAGUACUAUAUAAUAGUUAAAACUUUCAACAACGGAUCUCUUGGUUCUG